UAAAUCUGUACAACAGUUUCAUAUAAAACGCUGAAAAAACCUGUAGCCUGUAUUGAAUUCUAAAAAGAAAAGAAGACAUGUCGCAGAUACUUGGAUUUUAUCUUCUUCUGAUUUCCAUCUUCUGCAUGUCAGGGUGGCUAAUGACACCCGCUCAGGCGAAAUGCUCUGACUAUUUGAACUGUCAUCAUUCGUUUGCAAAACUUGUCUGCCCGGAUUCAUGCAAGGAGAAAUUAGCAGGAUAAAGGAAAAUAAUGUGAAAUUACAUGACAUUUUGCAUCAUCGAUGUAAACUUUAUUUGUCAACACUUUAUUGUUGUAUUAUAAUCACAUGUUAACAUGAAAUAAAACUUUCUGCACUAUUAAUGGA